rnacentral:piRNA from 1 species
UGAUACGAGGGGCUGCCUGAUCUAGGACCAGC